UACGUAGGGGGCAAGCGUUGUCCGGAAUUACUGGGCGUAAAGCGCGUGUAGGCGGUUGCCAAAGUCGGGUGUGAAAGCCUUGAGCUCAACUCAAGAAUUGCACUCGAUACUUGGUGACUAGAGGACCGGAGAGGAUAGUGGAAUUCCCAGUGUAGUGGUGAAAUACGUAGAGAUUGGGAAGAACACCAGUGGCGAAGGCGGCUAUCUGGACGGUUUCUGACGCUAAGACGCGAAAGCGUGGGGAGCAAACAGG
rnacentral:rRNA from 1 species